rnacentral:tRNA from 1 species
GCCUUCGUAGUGUAGCGGUCAGCACGCUCGGCGCGUACCCAAGAGAUCCAUGGUUCGAGUCCAGGCGAGGGCA